CAGUAGCCACGGUAAUACGUAGGGUGCAAGCGUUAAUCGGAAUUACUGGGCGUAAAGCGUGCGCAGGCGGUUAUAUAAGACAGAUGUGAAAUCCCCGGGCUCAACCUGGGAACUGCAUUUGUGACUGUAUAGCUAGAGUACGGCAGAGGGGGAUGGAAUUCCGCGUGUAGCAGUGAAAUGCGUAGAUAUGCGGAGGAACACCGAUGGCGAAGGCAUUCCCCUGGGCCUGUACUGACGCUCAUGCACGAAAGCGUGGGGAGCAAACAGGAUUAGAUACCCCAGUAGUCCCUGUCUCUUAUAA
rnacentral:rRNA from 1 species